GAGAGAGAGAGAGAGAGAGAGAGAGAGAGCCGGCACAUCUCCCCUCCCCUCUCCCGUCCUCCCCUGCGCCGGUCGCCUCUGCCCCGACCUGCUGUGCUGCCGCUGCUGUCCCCCCCCCCCCCCCCUCGCCGCUGCGCAGGCGCACCAACCCGCCGAUCGAUCAUGCUCGCCUAGUCUUGUGACCGACAACCCCCUCUCCCUCCCUCCGCGGUUGGCUCUCGCCUGCCUGCCCCCUUCCCCGAUCCGCCUCCGCUGCCUCUCUCUCUCUCUCUAUAUAUAUAUAUACCCGCCUCGGCACCUCCGACUCCGCCCCCGAACCUUCCAGAACCCUCAUCCUCCCGAGACCCUCAACCGACGAGCGCCUGCCUCGCUCCCUCCUCCCGCACCUGAUCGAUUCCGAUGGCCGUAGUCGAGACAUCCGCCGACCACGCCUCACCCCGCACGGAGGAGCAGGGCUCUGGCUCCGACGCCGGGCAGCGCGAGAUGCGGGAUCUGGAGGAGCUCCUCUCCAAGCUCAACCCCAUGGCCGAGGAGUUCGUCCCGCCAUCCCUCGCCUCCCCCGUAGCCGCCGGGGCCGGGGCCACCCCCGCGCCGCUCUCCCCCGCCGCGUACGGGUACUACCCCGCCAACGGCGGAUUCGCGGCCUCCUCGCCGGGGCACAGUGGGGUCGUCGGGUUCCCCACCGGCGACGGGCCCGCCGGCCGCGGCAGGAAGAAGGGGGGAGCAGGGUUCGGCCACGGGCACCCCGGCAGGCGGCGGACCAACAGCCGCACCACCAUGGCGCAGCGCGACGAGGUGAUCCGCCGCACCGUCUACGUCUCCGACAUCGACCACCAGGUCACUGAAGAGAACCUGGCAGCUCUAUUUAUCAACUGUGGGCAGGUUGUGGAUUGUCGCAUGUGUGGGGACCCAAAUUCAGUUCUUCGUUUUGCUUUCAUAGAGUUCACUGAUGAGGAGGGUGCAAGAGCUGCUCUAAAUCUGUCAGGAACGGUGCUUGGAUAUUAUCCUGUCAGGGUUCUGCCAUCGAAAACUGCCAUCGCACCAGUCAACCCAACAUUCCUGCCCAGGUCUGAUGAUGAACGUGAAAUGUGUGCAAGGACUAUUUACUGCACAAACAUUGACAAGAAGGUCACUCAGGCAGAUCUGAAAUUGUUCUUUGCGUCAAUCUGUGGAGAGCAGAUUGUUUGUUGGCUCAUUGCAAUGCCUGCUACAGGUCUUUCGGCUGAGGUUGCUUGGUGACUACCAUCAUUCUACUCGCAUAGCCUUUGUGGAGUUUGUGAUGGCCGAAAGUGCUACUGCUGCUCUCAACUGCAGUGGUGUGAUACUGGGAUCCUUGCCAAUAAGGGUGAGCCCCUCAAAGACUCCUGUGCGUCCCCGUGCGCCUCGCCAGUUGAUGCACUAGAUGCUGUAGGUACAGGAGGUGCUGAUGGCACUGCUUAUAUAUAAUAGAGAUAGACAUAUAUGAAAGGGAAAUCGAGAUAUAUGCCUUCUUUUUUAGUUAUGGGCUCGACCUUUUUUACUGUACCAUCAGUAAGUAUCUAUGCUCCGGAGAGGGGACACCGGGAUCAGGUUGGGUCUUUUUACCUUGCACAUAGAGCUUCUUAGAAUGAAGCGGUCUGACGCUUAUGUCCUUGGUGCAACAAGGCAAAACUCCUGGACUUUUGUCUCUGUUCAGUUGUUUGCUGUGUCUUGGUUGCUACUCAAAACAUGGGAAUUACUUGGAAAUGACGAACGCUUACCGUUAUGCCCUA